rnacentral:rRNA from 1 species
CCUACGGGGGGCAGCAGUAGGGAAUCUUCCACAAUGGGCGAAAGCCUGAUGGAGCAACGCCGCGUGGGUGAAGAAGGUCUUCGGAUCGUAAAACCCUGUUGUUAGAGAAGAAAGUGCGUGAGAGUAACUGUUCACGUUUCGACGGUAUCUAACCAGAAAGCCACGGCUAACUACGUGCCAGCAGCCGCGGUAAUACGUAGGUGGCAAGCGUUAACCGGAUUUAUUGGGCGUAAAGGGAACGCAGGCGGUCUUUUAAGUCUGAUGUGAAAGCCUUCGGCUUAACCGGGGUAGUGCAUUGGAAACUGGGAGACUGGAGUGCAGAAGAGGAGAGUGGAACUCCAUGUGUAGCGGUGAAAUGCGUAGAUAUAUGGAAGAACACCAGUGGCGAAGGCGGCUCUCUGGUCUGUAACUGACGCUGAGGUUCGAAAGCGUGGGUAGCAAACAGGAUUAGAUACCCCAGUAGUC